UAAGUGCUCCAUAGAGGGGUUUGGCUGCCUGUCCAGCUGCUGUAGGGGGAACUCCUGAUGACUCCUAGAGAAGCUGUGGCAGUCCCACAAGGAGGAGCAUAACAGGUGGUGGGAAGCAGGAGCACAGAGCCAUGAAAAAAUGCAUGAUCACACAAAGGAACACUGGAACUGCCAUAGGUCUGAACAAAGGUCCAUCCAGCCCAGUACCCUGUCUCCAACAGUGCUCACUGAUGUGACUGUGCUUAUGAAGAUACAGAAGAGAAAGAGCAGAAAUGGGAGGAAC